GACGAACGCUGGCGGCGUGCUUAACACAUGCCAGUCGAACGGAAAGGCCCUGCUUUUGUGCGGUGCUCGAGUGGCGAACGGGUGAGUAACACGUGAGUAACCUGCCCUUGACUUUGGGAUAACUUCAGGAAACUGGGGCUAAUACCGGAUAGGAGCUCCUGCUGCAUGGUGGGGGUUGGAAAGUUUCGGCGGUUGGGGAUGGACUCGCGGCUUAUCAGCUUGUUGGUGGGGUAGUGGCUUACCAAGGCUUUGACGGGUAGCCGGCCUGGGAGGGUGACCGGCCACAUUGGGACUGAGAUACGGACCAGACUGCUACGGGAGGCAGCAGUGGGGAAUAUUGCACAGUGGGCGGAAGCCUGAUGCAGCAACGCCGCGUGCGGGAUGACGGCCUUCGGGUUGUAAACCGCUUUCGCCUGUGACGAAGCGUGAGUGACGGUAAUGGGUAAAGAAGCACCGGCUAACUACGUG
rnacentral:rRNA from 1 species